CAGGAAGUGGCCAGCAGACAGACUGAUUGUAUGCUCGAGAGCAGACUACCAGCACCGGAGUUUUUUCUCAUUAAGCUGUGUGUGACUGUAGAAGAGUUGGCCAGGCUUCUUUUUUUUUGAUGGCGAGCUAAAGAAAGAAGAAUCUAGUCCAAGGACUGUUCUUGGAAGAUUCCAGCCAGGAAACCACCACCUGUUCUGUCUGGGCGGGUAGGAGGCUCUCGAGCCGUCCCUUUACAUUUUUUCCCCCCAUCUUUAACCUGCAGUACAUGGACUGUACUGCCAUCCUUUUUUUCCCAAGAACUCUACGUCUGAACUGAGAUUUAUUCAGAUCCAGAGACAUUAAUUACUGAAAUUUGAAUUGUGUAUAUAUGUAUAUAGUCACUGUUGUUUUCCAGAUUACUUUCCUGUUGAAUGGCCAUUCAACGUAUUGUGUGUAUAUAUCUGCUGUCCCUCACAAAUUGUUUAAUACACAGUGUUAA